CAGGAGCAAUUGCAACCUUGGCUCUGACCUGUAUGUACAACAAGAUCCCUGUAGGUUCAGAGGAAGGUUACAGAUCCCUGUUUGGUCAGGCACUAAAGGAUAUUGUGGAGAAAAUCAGCAUGAAGAUCAAAGAUAAUGGCAUCAUUGGAGACAUCUACAGUACUGGCCUCGCCAUGCAGGUAAACAUGUGCUGGAUGCUCUUGGUUGGGUUCCUGCCAAUAAGCCUGGAUUGCAGAAUCAAGAGGCCAGGCUUCUACUAACAUCUCUGUGAAAGUCCAGCUAGUAUGACCUAAGAUAUAUUCUUUGUGGUGCCUGGGCCUCAGUUUCUCUACUGGUAAAAUGCAGGCUCUCUCUGUAACACCUGAGCCACCUAAAAAGGAAUGGAACUGCAAGAAGACUAUGGAUAUGAUACUUGAUGAGAUUAAGCAGGGGAAAUUCCACAACCCCAUGUCCAUUGCUCAAAUCCUCCCUUCCCUGAAAGGCAAGACAUACCUAGAUGUGCCCCAGGUCACUUGUAGUCCUGAUCAUGAGGUACAACCAACUCUACCCAGCAACCCUGGCCCUGGCCCCACCUCCUCAUCUAACAUCACUGUCAUAUACACCAUAAAUAACCAGCUGAGGGGGGUUGAGCUGCUCUUCAACGAGACCAUCAAUGUUAGUGUGAAAAGUGGGUCAGUGUUACUUGUUGUCCUAGAAGAAGCACAGCGCAAAAAUCCUAUGUUCAAGUGAGUAUUACAAAUGUCAU
rnacentral:sRNA from 1 species